AGGUGUUGGGUUAAGUCCCGCAACGAGCGCAACCCCUGUGGUUAGUUACCAGCACAUAAUGGUGGGGACUCUAGCCAGACUGCCUACGCAAGUAGUGAGGAAGGUGGGGACGACGUCAAGUCAUCAUGGCCCUUACGUCCAGGGCUGCACACGUGCUACAAUGGAUGGUACAGAAGGUCGCCACCUAGCAAUAGGGCGCAAAUCUUUAAAACCAUUCUCAGUUCGGAUCGGAGUCUGCAACUCGACUCCGUGAAGUUGGAAUCGCUAGUAAUCGCGUAUCAGCCAUGACGCGGUGAAUACGUUCCCGGGCCUUGUACACACCGCCCGUCAAGCGAUGGAAGUCAGGAGUACCUGAUGUCGCCCCAAUAAGGGGUGCCUAGGGUAAGCCUGGUAACUGGCGCUAAGUCGUAACAAGGUAGCCGUACCGGAAGGUGCGGCUGGAUCACCUCCUU
rnacentral:rRNA from 1 species